rnacentral:rRNA from 1 species
GACGAACGCUGGCGGCGUGCUUAACACAUGCAAGUCGAACGGUAAGGCCCUUCGGGGUACACGAGUGGCGAACGGGUGAGUAACACGUGGGUGAUCUGCCCUGCACUUCGGGAUAAGCCUGGGAAACUGGGUCUAAUACCGGAUAGGACUCCGGACUGCAUGGUCUGGGGUGGAAAGCUUUUGCGGUGUGGGAUGGGCCCGCGGCCGAUCGGCUUGUUGGUGGGGUGAUGGCCUACCAAGGCGACGACGGGUAGCCGGCCUGAGAGGGUGACCGGCCACACUGGGACUGGGAUACGGCCCAGACUCCUACGGGAGGCAGCAGUGGGGAAUAUUGCACAAUGGGCGCAAGCCUGAUGCAGCGACGCCGCGUGAGGGAUGACGGCCUUCGGGUUGUAAACCUCUUUCAGCACAGACGAAGCGCAAGUGACGGUAUGUGCAGAAGAAGGACCGGCCAACUACGUGCCAGCCGCCGCCGUAA